rnacentral:rRNA from 1 species
GAUAGAGGGGGAUAACCACUGGAAACGGUGGCUAAUACCGCAUAACCUCUUUGGAGCAAAGUGGGGGACCUUCGGGCCUCACGCUAUCGGAUGAACCCAGAUGGGAUUAGCUAGUAGGUGGGGUAAGGGCUCACCUAGGCGACGAUCCCUAGCUGGUCUGAGAGGAUGACCAGCCACACUGGGACUGAGACACGGCCCAGACUCCUACGGGAGGCAGCAGUGGGGAAUAUUGCACAAUGGGCGCAAGCCUGAUGCAGCCAUGCCGCGUGUAUGAAGAAGGCCUUCGGGUUGUAAAGUACUUUCAGCGGGGAGGAAAGGCGUGAGUCUGAACACGGCUCACGAUUGACGUUACCC